GCUUUAUAACACAAGGUGUAUAUUCAGUUGCUACCCCAUUUCACCCUUUUGGUGGAGCAGUUGACAUAAUUGUUGUGAAGCAACAUGAUGGGGCUUUUAGGAGUACCCCUUGGUAUGUUCGAUUCGGUAAGUUUCAAGGUGUUCUUAAGGGGGCAGAAAAGGUAGUUAGAAUAGAAGUUAAUGGCAAAGAAGCUGAUUUUCACAUGUAUCUUGAUAAUUCUGGUGAAGCUUAUUUUAUCAAAGAGGCUACUAGUGAUAAUGAGAAUGAAGAAAAUGGUUGCUUGAAGAAGCCCGAUAAUUUGAAAAGUGAAGGGGAUUCUAGUAAUCUUGGUAAUGGUAACCAUAACGAAAGUAG
rnacentral:misc_RNA from 1 species